GAUUAUGUAUUUUGUCUUUUUUUCCUUUCAGUGUCUCUAAAUUUUAUUCAAAGUAGUAUCAAGAUUGUACUUAUGUAAUACAUGUAGAAGAAAGGGAAGUUGUAGGUGUUGUAACUUAAUGAUGUAAUUAGUUAGUUAGUUACAACAGAUUUAGUAGCUAAAUUAUUUUAGAUAUUUUCUUGAAUGGUUACAACUGUUUGUCUAUAAAUAGAGUCGGUAGUUAUUCUUUUUUUACUUGUACAGUUUCAUUGAGCUUCCAUAGCAAAAGGGCUUUCCUUUAUCUCUUCCUUCUUCCUUCAAUUUUGCAUUUAAUCUGCGAUACCUGAGCUUCUUAACAUGGUAUCGGAGCCAGGUUGAUGCAUCUCUCAACUUAGUUUACAGAAUCUUCUAAGGAAAGUGUCAUAGAAGGAUCUUCAAGCUCAACAAGUUCGAAUCAGAAAUUCGAGAGCUUUUUGUAUAAUUUGUGUCAAUUCGAUGCUUAGGAAGUGAAAAUUCAGAGCUCAAAGUGUCAAUUUAGUAGUUGCAUAUGAGAUUUGUUGCUCGAUUUGGAGAAGGUUUCAAUGGCUCCAGCUGAAAACUUCGAGAAUGGCCACUCUUCAACUCAACUUGAAGAAGUUCAUCAUAAUUAUACAGUCUGUAUUCAUCCCUUAGAUACACAAGCUAGUAAAGAUCCUUUAUGGAUAAAAGCCAUGAAAGCUGAAUUUUCAGCUCUUAAAGAAAAUGGUACCUGGUCCCUGUUUGACCUGUCUCCUGGAAGGUUCCUAUGGGCUGCAAGUGGGUAUUUAAGGUUAAGUAUCAUACAUCUGAUGCUAUAGAAAGGUAUAAGGUAAAUUUGGUUGCCAAAGGUUAUUAUCAACAAGAAGGACAUGAAUUUAUUGAAACUCUCUCUCCAACUGGAAAAAUGGUAAAUGUGAGGUAUGUUGUUCCUCAUGAUGCUUAUUUUGGCUGGUAUAUCUUGCAAACGGAUGUUCGUAAUUCCUUUUUACAAGGUGACCUUACAGAAGAUGUCUACAUGGUUGUUCCUGAAGGCUUUUCAAGCUAGGGAAGUAUAAGGUGUGCAAGCUACAUAAAUAGUUAAUAUGUCUUGAAAUUGGAAACUAGACAAUGGAAUUUGAAACUUACAGAAUGUAAUACCCGUGCCUUUUUAUUUGUUUGAAAUCAUCUCAAGGAUGUUAGAAAUUGCUAUAAAAUAUAAAACUAUUUUUGUA